rnacentral:miRNA from 1 species
ACUCUAACGUGGAGGCACUUUCU